GACAGAGGAUGCAAGCGUUAUCCGGAAUGAUUGGGCGUAAAGCGUCUGUAGGUGGCUUUUUAAGUCUGCCGUCAAAUCCCAGGGCUUAACCCUGGACAGGCGGUGGAAACUACCAAGCUGGAGUACGGUAGGGGCAGAGGGAAUUUCCGGUGGAGCGGUGAAAUGCGUAGAUAUCGAGAGGAACACCUGCGGCGAAGGCGGGUUGCUGGGCUGACACUGACGCUGAGGCGCGAAAGCCAGGGGAGCGAACGGG
rnacentral:rRNA from 1 species